CUGGACUCUUCUGGGAUCAAAUGCAGGUGUCUCAGUCAGAGAAGCUGGAGAAGAAAGCCUGUCAGCACCGAGCAGACUGCCAGGUCAAGGGCCUUUCACAAAACCCUCAUCUCAGCAUUUUGGCUAGCCCGACGGGCCACGGUGUAGCACGUCUCUGUUUCUGAGGGCCAGGCUGCUCAGUCUUCCUAAUGUGUCCCUCCCUCUACUCUCUCCUCAAUCAGGUGUGUCUUCCUGGAAACCAGAACAGGAACUCUCAGGGGAGGUGUGUGAACGUGGCAUUUGGCCCAUUAGUGAAUAGUAGGUCGGUUUAUUAGACGAUGAAGACUUCCUUUGUUAAAAUAAUUUCCAAAGAAGAGACGGGGGCCGGGGGAGGGGCAGAAGGGUCAGAAACAAAGAGAAGAAUGGGGAGUUCAUUGCACAAAGUAGCACUUCAGCCUCGUAAUGCCCGCUAGCACUAGUUCUGAGCUUCCUGUGUUUAGAUAAGGUGAAGUGGCAGUUUAUGUGCUUAUACGUUGCUGAUUUUGUGACUCGGUUUAGGUAAUACAGGUGCUUUACUGGUACAGAGGUGUUGGCUUAGCCUUGUCAGAGGGUUACAUCACAGCUUGUUCCACCAGGGUCCUUGACGGCUGAUUCAGCGGUAGUGUUAAAGCAGUCUGAAAACCGUGAGGACUCUUCCCCAUCCAGUGCGUGCACCAGGGAUCUGGCCUCCGUGCUCCUUCACCCACAAUGGCCAGCUCCGCCAUAUUCAGAUCUUGGGAUUCCUACGCAAAAUGACUUUGUUACAAAUCAAAAAUUUAAAUGUCCUGGGGGAUUGUAGAACAGGAGCUGCUUGUGAGGAAAGGUUGUGUGGCUCACCUGGUGGAUGGACUUAGCUCAAGUGAACUUGACAAACGUUUGGCAAGUGAACUCAGGCACUCUUGGCAGUGUCCACACCCCUGGAAGAACCCAUCAGUAUCUUUGAUCUGAUCUAGUGAUGAUGGGGCUUUACAGAUCCUGAUGGUUGUGUGUGUGGAGGGCUUACUGAGUUCGGCAGAGCUUGCUAAGUAAGCAGUUUCCUAUCACCACUAAACAACCUAGGGAACUUAUAAAUAACAGAUGCUCCCCAACUGCCACAUUGCUUAGAGCUUGGCCUAAAGACAGAUGAGUGUUCAGACUUGAAGCACUUUCUCAAAUGCGCUUUAGAAAAGAACAUUGACUUAAGGUGAUGAAGAAGGACCGCUAACCACCGAUCCAGGCACUUGGCUGGACUUUCUGCAGUCCCAGAGUCGCCAAGUAGCUCUUCUUCCAGGCUCCGUGACAGGUUUGCUUUUAACUGCCAGGGUUUAGAUCCGUGCACCGAGAUGGAUUCUAAAAGCUCGAAGCCACCCAGCACUUUUCCAAAAUGCUUCGACCCCCGAUGGCUGACAAGUCUGUGUUUGUCUGCAUCUCCCUGUGUCAUCACAAGGGGGCCAGGACCUCCCGUAGAGCUAAGUUCUGAUGUCCCCUCCAGGCUUGUCUAUGUCCAGAUGGCAGUGCUGCCUUCCUGUAGUCCAAAGAGACACAUCCAGCUCCCCUCUCAGCUCUAGGGUUUCUUCAGGGAGAGAAUGUGGUUUUG